UAAGCUUCACCGACCUUUUGGCUAAGAUCAAGUGUAGUAUCUCUGUUCUUAUCAGUUGUAUCUCUGAUAAGGUCCCCUAUCUGGGGACCAUAUAGUAAAUGGAUUUUUGGGACAGAGGAGAUGGAAGAAGAGCUUGCUCUGUCCACUCCACGCAUUGACCUGGUAUUGCAGUACCUCCAGGACCGGUGCACCUCUC